rnacentral:tRNA from 1 species
CAAAUUAAGCUUUAUAUUAAGUUUUUUAUUUACAUUAAAAAGAUUACUGUUUGAUUCAGUAUAAUUUGA